rnacentral:tRNA from 2 species
GGCGAAGUAGUUCAAACGGACAGAACAUUUUAUCCUUAUUCAUCCCUUGCCCUUUGGGCCGAAGAAUGAGGGUUAUCGACUUCUCAUCGAAAGGUUGUGGGUUCGAGCCCCACCUUCGCCG